rfam:Ovis aries breed Texel chromosome 1, whole genome shotgun sequence.
UCCCUAGUGGCUCAGAUGGUAAAGAGCCUGCCUGCAAUGCAGGAGGUUCAGGUUCUAUCCCUGGGUUAGGAA